rnacentral:rRNA from 1 species
CGUAAGGCGAAGCUUUGAACUUAAGCCCCAGUAAACGGCGGCCGUAACUAUAACGGUCCUAAGGUAGCGAAAUUCCUUGUCGGGUAAGUUCCGACCCGCACGAAAGGCGUAAUGAUUUGGGCACUGUCUCAACAAUGCACCCGGUGAAAUUGAAAUACCAGUGAAGAUGCUGGUUACCUGCGCCAGGACGGAAAGACCCCAUGGAGCUUUACUCCAGCUUGAUACUGGGAUUCGAUAUUGCAUGUACAGGAUAGGUGGGAGACUGAGAACUGAUGACGCCAGUUGUCAGGGAGUCACUGUUGGGAUACCACCCUUGUAGUAUUGGAUUUCUAACCAGCAGCCGUGAACCGGCUGGGGGACAAUGUCAGGUGGGGAGUUUGACUGGGGCGGUCGCCUCCGAAAGGGUAUCGGAGGCGCUCAAAGGUUCCCUCAGAAUGGUUGGAAACCAUUCGAAGAGUGCAAAGGCAGAAGGGAGCUUGACUGCGACACCGACGGGUGGAGCAGGUACGAAAGUAGGACUUAGUGAUCCGGUGGUAUAAAGUGGGAUUGCCAUCGCUCAACGGAUAAAAGCUACCCUGGGGAUAACAGGCUUAUCACUCCCAAGAGUUCACAUCGACGGAGUGGUUUGGCACCUCGAUGUCGGCUCAUCGCAUCCUGGGGCUGAAGUAGGUCCCAAGGGUUGGGCUGUUCGCCCAUUAAAGCGGUACGCGAGCUGGGUUCAGAACGUCGUGAGACAGUUCGGUCCCUAUCCGGCGUGGGCGUAGGAUAUUUGAGAGGAGCUGCCCUUAGUACGAGAGGACCGGGGUGGACUGGCCGCUGGUGGAUCUGUUGUAUUACCAAAUGCAUAGCAGAGUAGCCAAGCCGGGACGGGAUAAACGCUGAAGGCAUCUAAGCGUGAAGCCCCCCUCAAGAUGAGAUAUCCCAUAACGUCAAGUUAGUAAGACCCCUUGAAGACGACGAGGUAGAUAGGGCAGAGGUGGAAGUGCGGUAACGCAUGGAGCUGACUGUUACUAAUAGGUCGAGGGCAUAACCAA